rnacentral:rRNA from 1 species
AGUGAACGCUGGCGGCGUGCCUAAUACAUGCAAGUCGAACGGAAUUUAAAAGAGCUUGCUCUUUUAAAUUUAGUGGCGCACGGGUGAGUAAUAUAUAGCUAAUCUGCCCCUUGCUGGAGGACAACAGUUAGAAAUGACUGCUAAUACUCCAUACUCCUUUUUACCAUAAGAUAAAUCGGGAAAGAAUUUCGGCAAGGGAUGAGACUAUAUCGUAUCAGCUAGUCGGUGGGGUAACGGCCUACCGAGGCUAUGACGCGUAACUGGUCUGAGAGGAUGAUCAGUCACAUUGGAACUGAGACACGGUCCAAACUCCUACGGGAGGCAGCAGUAGGGAAUAUUGCGCAAUGGGGGAAACCCUGACGCAGCAACGCCGCGUGGAGGAUGACACUUUUCGGAGCGUAAACUCCUUUUGUUAGGGAAGAA